CACAGAAUAAGAAUGUUUUUUUUUUCUCUUGAAAUUUAUAAUCAGCUACUGCAAAGAGCGAUACUUUUUAAACUGUUUAUCUAAAACUAUUUGAAAAGAGCAGUUAAAAAUGAUAGUGACCAUUACAGAAUCAAAUAUUAUCGAUAUUCGGAGAUACUUGCCCCGGUCCAGGAUAGUAAUAGGGCGGCGGUCGUUCAUAUUCGGUGCUUAAGGGAGGCGGAGCCGCGGCAGCUGGUUGAUACCUUGGUGGACCACCGUUGGGAAAGUCCCAAUUUCUCUGCCCGGCCGGAUCGCCAUAAAAAAAAAAUAUCACCUACAAGUGGGUUUUGGCAGUGAAAGGGCUAAACGUAACGCAUCUAUCGUGUCCUUGCCACAGUAAAAUGCCAUUUGCAAACUAACAUAUGAUAUAGCAGCUGCCCAACAAGCGAAAUGAAAGUAAGAUCGUACGUAACUUGACUGUCUCGAUUAUAAUUAUAAAAUAUAAUCACAAUAUACGUUGGAGAGAAUAAACAUGCUUCUCCGCGAAGGAAAAUUGUAAAAUACCUUUAAGCUAAAAAUUAACGUUACAGGAUAGACAUUGCACGACACGAAUAAUUUACAUCAACACAUCUGAUGUAUAUAACUGCUUCUCUUAUUAAAUAUACUACUAUAUAUUCCAUAGUCCAGUCAAUGAGAUAAGCGUCUUUAUAAUGGAGAGGGAAUUGAACAAUUACUUGGACCCUGUUUCACAUGUUUCUUACUUGUUAUAUAUAAAUAUAUCUUGCGAAAAGCCUAGUUCUCUUGCAAAGCUAUUCGUGACCAAU